CGGAAGGUUUUCUCGUCGAUUUAUUUUCCGAAAAACGUCGUUUUGAGCUGUUCUCUACGCUUCUCUUUUCGAAAAAUCUAGUUCGACGGUUGACGCGUGUGUUCCUAUCAGUUUUGUGGAUUCUACAAGGCAUUAUCAACAGCAAUCGUCGCCUAAAAAUAGAACAUUACCCGAUAUACUUGUAGGGAAACCUAGUUGGAGGUUUCCAUUCAUAAAAUACAUUCAUUUGGUGUCGGACAGUGAAGGUACUCCGUUCUAAAGUUGUGUAGCAUCGCUGCGUUCUGGACUAGUGUGGCGAAUCAAUACUUCGGGUGACCGAAACGAGUUUCCACCUCGCGGACUAACCGGAGCGAAAGGACAAAAUGGCGACGGAAGGCGGUCUGGCGCCAGGCGGCGACGGCGACAUGCCCGUGGGCGGGCCGAAGACGCCCCAGCAGAUCGCCGCCCAGCGUCGUCUGCAGCAGACACAGGCUCAAGUCGACGAGGUGGUGGACAUCAUGAAAACGAACGUAGAAAAGGUGCUUGAGCGAGAUCAAAAGCUCUCGGAACUUGAUGAUAGAGCAGACGCUCUGCAGCAGGGUGCCUCGCAAUUUGAACAGCAGGCUGGAAAACUGAAGAGCAAAUUUUGGUUGCAGAAUUUAAAGAUGAUGAUAAUCGCUGCCGUCAUUGGUAUCAUCAUUUUAGCCCUCAUCAUCGCCAACUUUGUGUGAACUUUCGGUAACCGCAGUUUAAUUUAGAACUUGUUAUAAUGUUAACGAAUAGAAUAACGUAUAUUGUUAUUUUUUAUUUCGUUGGUUCUAAGCCUAUUUUGGUCUGUAAACACCCACAUCAAAGGAUUCCAGGAGAGGUUCCUUUCUUGAACAGGACACCAGCCUAAGUACCACAGAAUAUUCACCGUACAGAACAUUGAAGUUAGUAGAUUUUAGUGUUGUUAAAAAUAUACCUACGACUAUGUAACACUUACGCCUCCAGACUAUCUCACAUAAUCUGAAUCCUAAAGUAAUGUAAUUUUAAAUCACGCCGUUCUUUUAUAACACUUACAAAAUAUACUCCUCGGAAAAGAUGAAAUAGAAUAUUUUUAGAUAAUCUUUCUUCAAAUUAAUACGAUAAAGCAAAACUGCUACCAAAAGGCUUAUUCAAAACCAUAUCUAACUUCGAAGUUGAAUUUCCGAUUUUAAUAUCGUUGUAAUAACAAACAAAGUUAAGUUCAAUUUGGACCAAGUUUCUGAAACAACUUGUAUUUUACUUUCUUAAAUAUAUUUUAUGCCUAACUUCCUUUCUGGUCGUUGAUCUUUGAUGUACCUAUCUACUCGCUAUACCUACUUAAGUAUGUUUGUCUAUGCUUAACAUUUGUGAAUCAAGUUUAUUAGGUGUUGAAUAUGUUGAUACGGAAUAGAUAUAAAUAGGUUUAGAGCCAAUCGAUUCAUUUGGUCCAUUACAUUGAAAGUAAAUAAAGUGUAUGUUUCCAUGACAUACUUAUUAAAGCCAAAAUACCUACUCUCACUACACUAGAGCGAAAUAGUAUUUAAAUAGGUUAUAUUACUUCAUCGAUUUCGACAAUGGCAAAUAUUACUACAAAAAUAUUUUAUCACAUAGUCAGUCUUCCGAGAUUUAUAACAAAACAUUCAAUUCGCUUUGUAAUUCAACUGAAUUGAUGUAACUUAAACUUAUCACCGAUGUAAAAUAUCAUAAAAUUACAUUGAUAGGCGUAUUUCAUUUUAACUUAUAAUCACUUAGCUGUUUAUUAUAACCGUGAUUUCUAUUUGAAACGAAAUUUGUACUUAAUCGAGUUGUUGUUUGUAAUGAAUAAAAAAUAAUUAUUAAUAAUUAGAAAAAAAUAUUAUUAUAUAGAAUUUUACGCUGUCUUAAGAUUUAAUUUAACUGGCUGACUGUUUUAUGUAUUACUAGUGUGACUAUAAUACAUUAAAACCGUUUUAUGUGUUAUUAUAUGUAAAAACUGCUUUGUAGUUAGAAAUUGUAAAAUAAUUAGCGAUUAGGUGUUCUCAUUAAUUGUAUUACUUAGGUGUUACAAAGUCAUAAAUAAAUUACACAUUCAGGAUUAUUGGCAAAUACUGCAUUUAAAUAUUAUAUUAUUUGUUCAUAAACGUAAUCUUUUCAUUGUAUUUGUCUCUUUCUCGCAGAUAUAAAUAAAUAAACAAACGUAAAAUGUUGAAUUGGUAAUAUUACUAUGAUAAAGAGGUUUAUAAACAUUACCUGAUACAUCCUAUCUAAAUAGACAUAGGUACUACAGAAAAUACUUAAAAAUAACAAGAUCAUAAAUUUUACCUACAUCUUAAUGAAAACCAAUUCAAAACAAUUAUGUAGAGAAACCUACAUAGCCACAUUACGACUUGUUUAUUAAUAUAUGCGAGUUAGUAUGAUUAUAAUAAGAUAAGUAAAUUAGCCCCAUUUUCUGAAAGGCAAAAUUUAAGUAAGUUUAACGAAAAUCCACUUACGAUAAUCAUCUUGUGUGAGAGUUACCUACGUAAUUAACACAUACCAAAUAUUUUAUGCUGCUAUUACAGCAGCUUUAUUUCGAAACAACUUAUAAAUUACACCGAUAAAAAAAUCCUACAUCCAUACACGCAGAAAGUUUUUUAUGAUUCCCGCCUAAUAAAGUUAGUGCUGUACUGUGUCAUACUAUAAAGUGACUUUGUCACUAGACUUAAAAUCGGAUUUAUUUUUAAAAUUUUCAUAUUUUGUCUUUCAUAAAAUGGGGACUAAACAACAUUCACUGUAAGGUAAAAUGAAAACACACCACAAUCUUAAAAUAACAGUACUUUUAAGAAAACUGUUGUAAAGAUAAAUAAGUUGCAGAUAUACAACUAUUGCCAUUGGUAAUAAAAACAUUGUUUAUCUUUACAACAGAUGUAGUGAUAAGUCAGGUAGUUAUUACGAUGCUAUUACAUCAGUGGUACCCAUUGGCGCCAAAAAUAUUACAAAUUAAAAUACAAACAUGUUUUGGUAAUCGUAGUAAAUAACCGAACAAAAUUAUGUAAUCAUAAAUUCAUUCAAUUUAAAGUCUAAAAAUUAGUUAAAAUUAGAAGAGAAAACAUUAUAGGACAGUUUAGGAUACUUACAUAUUCAAGAGAAUUUAAUAAAAUACAACGUCUAAAAUGCUGAAUGAAUAUAUGAUUAGAAAUUAGUCACCUAAAAUAGAAUAGCACUAUAUUUUAGUUCAAGUCAAAUUAAUUGUUGAUUACAAUACAUAAAUUGAUUUAAGUGCUUAUACAAAUCGAAAUUGAAUUUAUUUAAUAGGUAUUGUAAUGAUUACAUACGUACGUGUCGUAAUGAAGUAAUAUUUCAUCUCAACAGAAAAAAUCAAAGUCGACCUAGAUAUUAUUUUUAACAUUAUAUUGAGCUCAUAGUGUUAAAAAUCUUAUCUACCGAUGUCAUUAUACUCUCGUGGUGGAAUAUUCACAAUCGGCAUAAAAUGCGAUUCAACUUCUCUAAAACACCGUAACAAAAAGAUACUUACAAUGUCGUAUGUGCACGAAUGUGAAUAUACAAUACAAAUGACGUCGGACAUCCUAUGAUAAGACUUUGUUUAGAAACAUCUAACGAGCAUGAUCGUACUUUGAUAUUAUAAUAUUCUAAUCAUCUAGUUUAAUGCUAUUGUUCGAUUAAUGUGUGCAAAGUUAGUAAAAAAUUGUCUAUAAAUGUUAAACAAUAAAUUUUAUCGUUACCGUUACGAAUAGGUGAUGUUUGAUUUUGUAAAAUUCAUAUCCAAAUGUAUAUCUUACGAGUAAAAGUGUAAUCUAUUUCAAAUGGUUAUUGUGGUAUAACUAUGGUUGAUAGAUUUGAAUCAGUAACAAUAUAAUCGCAUAAUGAAUUAAUGUGGUAGGUUUCACCU